UACGGGGGGGCAAGCGUUGUUCGGAAUUACUGGGCGUAAAGGGCUCGUAGGCGGCCAACUAAGUCGGACGUGAAAUCCCCAGGCUCAACCCUGGGAACUGCGUCUGAUACUGGAUGGCUUGAAUCCGGGAGAGGGAUGCAGAAUUCCAGGUGUAGCGGUGAAAUGCGUAGAUAUACUGGAGGAAUACCGGUGGCGAAGGCGACUUCCUGGACCAAUACUGACGCUCAGGUGCGAAAGCGUGGGGAGCAAACAGG
rnacentral:rRNA from 1 species